UAACUAUUAAUUUAAAUUAAAAUAUUAAUUUUGUAAAUUAAACAUAUUUAUAAAAAUAUAGUUAA
rnacentral:tRNA from 1 species